AGAGUUUGAUCAUGGCUCAGAACGAACGCUGGCGGCGUGGAUAAGACAUGCAAGUCGAACGCUGAUUUGUCGGUAGCAAUAUUGGCAAGUCGGAGUGGCGCAAGGGUGCUUAACACGUGGGCAAUCUGCCGUGAAGCCUGGAAUAACUCGCUGAAAGGCGAGCUAAUGCCGGAUGUGAAAGUCGGGAGGCAUCUUCUGAUUUUCAAAGCUGGGGACCGCAAGGCCUGGCACUUCACGAUGAGCCCGCGGCCUAUCAGCUAGUUGGCGAGGUAACGGCUCACCAAGGCUAAGACGGGUAGCUGGUCUGAGAGGACGACCAGCCACACUGGAACUGAGACACGGUCCAGACACCUACGGGUGGCAGCAGUCGAGAAUUUUUCUCAAUGGGCGCAAGCCUGAAGGAGCGACGCCGCGUGGGGGAUGAAUGGCUUCGGCCCGUAAACCCCUGUCAUUUGCGAACAAGUUGGUUCAAUUAACACCUGAACCAUUGAUAGUAGCGGAAGAGGAAGGGACGGCUAACUCUGUGCCAGCAGCCGCGGUAAUACAGAGGUCCCAAGCGUUGUUCGGAUUCACUGGGCGUAAAGGGUGCGUAGGCGGUCGGGUAAGUCUGAUGUGAAAUCUCCAAGCUCAACUUGGAAACGGCAUUGGAUACUAUUCGGCUCGAGGAGUGGAGGGGAGACUGGAAUUCUCGGUGUAGCAGUGAAAUGCGUAGAUAUCGAGAGGAACACCAGUGGCGAAAGCGAGUCUCUGGACACUUCCUGACGCUGAGGCACGAAAGCCAGGGGAGCAAACGGGAUUAGAUACCCCGGUAGUCCUGGCCCUAAACGGUGCGCGUUUGCUGUGAGCGGAAUCGACCCCGUUCGUGGCGAAGCUAACGCGUUAAACGCGCCGCCUGGGAAGUACGGCCGCAAGGUUAAAACUCAAAGAAAUUGACGGGGCCUGCACAAG
rnacentral:rRNA from 1 species